rnacentral:tRNA from 1 species
UCACUGGUGGCUCAGCGGUAAAACAUCUGCCUGCCAAGCAGGAGACACAGGUUCAAUUCCUGGGUUGGGAA